CCCUUAGAGUUUGAUCCUGGCUCAGAUUGAACGCUGGCGGCGUGCUUAACACAUGCAAGUCGAGCGGUAACAGGCGUAGCAAUACGUGCUGACGAGCGGCGGACGGGUGAGUAAUGCUUGGGAAUCUUCCCAGUAGUGGGGAAUAACCAGCCGAAAGGUUGGCUAAUACCGCAUACGUCUUCUUUCUAUAGUGGAGAGAAGGGAAAGCGGGGGACCGUAAGGCCUCGCGCUAUUGGAUGAGCCCAAGUCGGAUUAGCUAGUUGGCGGGGUAACGGCCCACCAAGGCGACGAUCCGUAGCUGGUCUGAGAGGACGACCAGCCACACUGGGACUGCGACACGGCCCAGACUCCUACGGGAGGCAGCAGUGGGGAAUAUUGGACAAUGGGGGAAACCCUGAUCCAGCGACGCCGCGUGUGUGAAGAAGGCCUGCGGGUUGUAAAGCACUUUUAGUGGGGACGAAAAGUUUCGGACUAACAAUCCGGGAUCUUGACUUAACCCAAAGAAAAAGCACCGGCUAACUCUGUGCCAGCAGCCGCGGUAAUACAGAGGGUGCGAGCGUUAAUCGGAAUUACUGGGCGUAAAGCGCGCGUAGGCGGUCUUGUAAGUCGGGUGUGAAAGCCCCGGGCUCAACCUGGGAACUGCAUUCGAGACUGCAAGACUGGAGUAUUGGAGAGGGCAGCGGAAUUUCCGGUGUAGCGGUGAAAUGCGUAGAUAUCGGAAGGAACAUCAGUGGCGAAAGCGGCUGCCUGGCCAAAUACUGACGCUCAUGUGCGAAAGCGUGGGGAGCAA
rnacentral:rRNA from 1 species